rnacentral:lncRNA from 1 species
GUCUUUUGUGUAAGUCAGUAAGUGCUACAAGUGCUUUGCCUUCUCUUCCAUGUAAUCAUGUGUGCUUUCGUACAUACGAACUACGGACAUUGCGAAAUAAUUAGGGUGCCCCAACGUUCAUGAUGAGUGCCUGUAAUUGUUGGUCUGUUCGUUAGCGAUUUUGCGCAUAAGAGGAAAUGUGGCUCGCGACCUCCACCUAAUUACCAGAGGAUGGAUCAUUUAAUGUCGUCCGUUAUUUGCGUAUUUAAAUACGAGUGUCUGUAGCGUUUAGGAAAGCGUCAACUGUAAUCUGUCACAUACCAGUUAAGUGCCCACAAUAAAUUUACAUUUUAUCACAUUGAACUUGGAACGGUUCAUACGCAAAUGCCGUAAAUUGCCAUCGCCGGCGAUGACGAAUCACUCAAAGUUCAGGCAUGCCAGGUCUUGGCAACCACCUUGGCCACCGACUUACCUAAUCCGCACGCAGGCGUAGAGCACGACGAAAACAAAGCAGAUCACUUGGACUAUUUCGACGAGCGAGCGCUCGACCACCAUGCGGCCCGUAGACAAGUUCUGCAGCACGUCCAUUUCCGUGCGUUGGUGACUAGAGCAACAGUAAACGUGCUCGGCAGGCUGCUCCCGUGCACUCACUCACUCACUGAUAAGGAACAAAGAACCCACGAAUUCGCGCCGUUGACCACUGUGCCCGGACCUCCGCCAGCUGUUGUGAAUGUUUGUUUAAUGGCACUUAGAAGCGCGAAUGAAUGAGCUGAGUCGGGGGCGACGGACUUUUGUUGCUUCAGAUUCUUUUAUCAUCUCAACAAGUGCUCGAGGCGGGCGAAAGCUCGCAAUUGUACGCGGUGUAGAUUGAUAUUGAUUACGCUUCGGAGCGUAAAUAAUCAGGCGAUGUGGCGCGACUCGGGAGCGGGGAGGAAAGCGAACGCUGCAGCCGCGGUCCUCAGAGGGAACAUGGCGUAGGGUCAGCUUCGGCUCAACAAGCUUCUUGAAGGGAUUGCUUUGACUUGUGGGCAAUCAAGCUCAUAUGACAGCGCGUCUUCCCGCUCAUUACCAAAGGAAGAAACCUCUUCUCAUCUGGUUAAACGUGGUCUUAAACGUGGAUGUGAGUAUGGACUACGUCCUAUUUAUAAACAAUUAGUGAAAAUUAACCAGAACCAUAUAAACAAUUCCCCAAGAUGUUUCUUUUGUUGGCAAAUAAGGGAGAGUAGGCCUGUUAUCAUCACUCCUCAAGAAGUAAUUGCGUCUCGGAAAAUAUUUCCACUAUCACUGUAGGAAAUGAAUUACUUUUGUUUACACACAACAAAACGCUACUUAUGACUUGGUAUUCUGCAAGCGCGAUGCCUCUCUCGCAGUCAAAGUCCAUCAAAUCGACAUUCUGCCCUUUUGUCGUUCAACAUUCGCUCUUUAAUAAUAUAUUUAUAGCAGAGUACCUUUUUCCUUUUGUCUUUGUAUUUUAAGGUGCGUUUCAUAACUAUAGGACCAUCUCUGAUUCGACUAAUUUAGUCUUUUGCGUUAUGGAAACUACAAGCAAUUAUUGUAUUAUUUAUUUGUUAACACUUGCAGAAAAUAUUGUCAAUAAAAUAUGGAUACGGUAAGAAAA